ACUGCUCUCAGAUAGCUCUGGUUGUUGCAUUAUUAUUUUUUUUGCUUCCUUUACCAAGUGAUCAGAGACAGAUUGCAGGUAUUUUUUUUUUUUUUUCUUAUUUUUUUUAAUAGGGCGGCCUGGCUAAAGAAGGGCAGAGAGAAAAUGGGUGCAAUGCAGUAAACCUGGAAUCAACACAAGGAACCCAGAAGGUCUGCUAGGUUCUUGCCUCAUUAAGAACUCCAUAUCUGCUCACUGACUAACCUUGCAAAUGAGUUCACGCUCAGUAAAGGAAAUUGAUUACUUUCCAUUGCAAUUAACAUCUGGUCCUGGGUCAGAUCAUUAGGAUAAUUUGUUAUAGAAAAAACCAAAGAAGCUAGCUACAGGGAAGAAGGAAGCAUACGGAGUGGACAGUAGGUGGUGGAAUGUCAUAUAUAAGAAAGAGAUAUCAGGGGAGUCAUUUACUCCUGCCUCUAGGAAACAUUCCUAUUUGCAGCCUGAGUUUCAGAAAUGAUGUAUGACAUCUAUUUGGUAAGGAAUGCACAGGGCUGAAGGGUUACUAGGGACUGUGAAUCUCUAGGGGUUCUACUCAGAGAAGACUGUGUUCCUGUUUCGGACAGGUUCAUAAAAAAACAGCAGAUAAAAAUAAAAAAAAUAUCUCUUUUCUAAUUUCACAUCUCUGUUUGCUCUGAGACUCAUAAAGAUUUUGGCUUUCACUGGCAGAGAUUUCCCAAUUUGAAAAACCUCUAAAUUUUGCCCAAUAACUAAUAAAGGGUUUUCUUGGAUCUGAGACCUGCUUCUUUUUUCUUACAUGUAUAUAUAUCAAAAAUCAAAGAAAUCUCUAAACAUAUUCCAAAUUUCAGUCCCAUGCAUUGAUCGAGCUAAAAAAGAUGCAAAUACCACCACCUAAGAAACCUAGUUUCCAUUAAUUUUUCUUGCAACAACAGGUUUGCAUGGCUCCAGGGAGAACAUUUUGGGAGCCAAAAUGUUAGAAAUGGAAAUAAUGCUGUUCAUAUUCUUAGCAGCAAAUAUUCUUGUAACAAACCUCUUGGUGUCUGUGACUUCCUGGUGUUUCUUACACUUCUUUCUGUGGCCACUUAGAAAUUCAUGGUGACAGAGAGGCUCAAAAACUAGGCUCUCCUGCAGCACAAAUACCAUCCCCUACCACUGAGUUAAAGAAGAAUCUUCAUUAGCGGCAGAAUGGAUAAAUAAUGUUCUUCUAAUUAUAUAUCAGAAAUUGAGAAGUGGCAUGUCAGAUUUAGGUGGGAAUUGAUUUUUUUUCCCCACUGGAGAAAAGUUUCAAAGAUCGCUUUUGAUUUAAUAUUUUUGUUCCAGUUGUGAAAAGUGAAAUUGGAAAAAUGUGGCAGAUAAACAUUUUCAAAAAUCAGAUUGGAUCAGGUGAAUAUAUUUUAAAAUAAUGAGUUUAAAUUGCUUCAUUUUGUCUUCAUCAUACUACAUUUAUUCAUUCUUUAGUUAUGAACUACAAUUUCAAAGCAAAAAGUAAUUCUCUAAUGAUGGUCACUGAAUAUGUCAUCUUUUAAAAUUAUUGAAUCAUUAUUAAUUUCAGAUUAUAGAAGGGAAGAAUAUUAUUUUAUUGUUGAUGUUUUUACUUUCAAUUUUCUCCAUGAAAGCUGAGAGAUUCUCUUUGUUAGAAGAUUUUUCUUGCAAAUAUUUUCAGCUCUUUCUGACCAAUAAAACACCAAAAUGAGAUGGAAGGAAAAAAAUCAGAACAUAAUUACCAUAAGAGAGAAUAUAAUACUGAGGUAUAAGAUUUUACUACAUGCCACUCUUUUUAUUUGUUUAGUUGUCCUGAGAAAUAAGCAAGCUCUCAACUUAAAAAAAAAAAUAAUAACUUUUUUUUCCUUCCUUUUUUUUUUUCCCCUUGAAAAUUUGAGCCACACAUUGCUGAUGGCUGCAGCAGUUUGGGUUGAUCUUGUUGCAGCACAGGAUAUGAGGGAGCAGAGCCUGGCUGAGUGCUUAGGUAGGACUCAAGUGAUGCAUAGGCUUCAUGAUGGCUCUGUGCAGGAGAUGUAAAUAUCAGACUCCAGUGUCUUUGAAGCAUCUUGCUGAUAAUUCAUAUGGCUACAGAUCUAUAAACCUUCUGGUUCUCAGGCACCUUUGCCACAGCUAUCCAUGUUAUGGGAAUGGGAAAUGAAGCAUAUAUUUUUCUAGUAAUGGAUAAACAUCAGGAGGUCCAGAAAGUUUUAAGUCUUAUUAGAGAAGACUACCCUACUUGUGAAAAGCCCUUCCAACUCUGGAACAGCUUAGACCUAGAUCACUGAAAUCUGUAUAGGUGGUACCUGCUUUUUUUGAUGGGUUGGGUCUCCAGUUUCAAAGCCUCUGAAAGCUAGAAGAGGUUGACAUUUUUGAGAUCUGGCUCUGGAGCUCAGUACUAUAGUCUGACAUCAGCUACUGUCCUGAUGAUCUUGCAUUUAUGUUUGUGCUAAGAUCAGUCUAAGCUUGUGAUCAUUUAUGAUGAGACCUCAAUCUCAACACAGUGAAAUAAACCAAUAGAAGUAUUUUUCAAGCAUAUUAGAUACCCAAGUUAUUUAUUUAAAGAAACUUGGCAUUGGGUCUGAUGGUAACUGAUGGUAUCUAGGCUGAGAUUCAUCUUAUGAAGUGUAGACACUAUACUACCUAUAUUUCUAAGCAACCUCUGCAUUCCACAGAGAAAACUAGCACUCACAAGAGGGUUUUCAUACUAAAGCAGACAUCCUGGGAGGUAGUUGUUUUCCACUACUGCCUCAAAUGUCACCAGCACAGCAGAAAAAGUUAAUGCGCAGAAAAAAGGUCAGAUUGAAUGCUAUCCAAAAAGAGUCAUCUGCCUACAAUCUUUGUAUAUCUUCAUAUGACCCAAGGUUGAUUUAGAUUCUGUGGGUAGGUAAACAGGCCAGUUACUGAAUUUAACACCACAGUUCAUCUCACCCCACAGUGGACACGCACAUUUCAUCAUGUGAACAGGUAGAAAAUAUUUCCACUGAUUAAAGGAAAAGCCUAGACAUCUUCCCUCCAGAUACCCAAACUUGAUUUACAGGAGUCCUACUCAAGAUUAUAGACUCAUAGAAUGAUUUAGAUUGGAAGGAACCUUAAAGACCAUCUUAUUCCAACCCCCUUGCCAUGGACAGGGAAACCCUCUACUAAACCAGGCUGUUCAUUCAGCCUAGCCUUGAACACUUCCAGGGAUGGAGCAUCCACAAUUUCUCUGGGAAACUUGUUCCAGUGUCCCUUUACUCUCAUGGUAAAAAGUUUCUUCCUUCCAGUAUCUAAUCUAAAUUUGCCGUCUAUCAGUUUAAAGCCAUUUCACCUCAUCUUUUCACUCUAGGCCUCAUCAAAAGUCCCCCUUCAGGUCUCUUGUAGGCUCCCUUUAGGUACUGGAAAUUUCUAUAAAUUCUCCCUCUAAACCUUCUGGUCUUCAUGGUGACCAACCCCAGAUCUCAGUCUGUCUUCACAGGAGAGACACAGAGGGUCUCCAUCCUUCUUAUUAUCUUUGUGGCCUCCUCUGGACUCACUCCAUCAGGUCCAUGUCCUUCUGGUAAUUAAAAAUCUCAGCUAAUUUCAGUGGAAAGUAGGCUAGGUUGCACUUAAAUCCCCCACCAGAAGGAGGGGUAGGUGAACUGUCUGUUUCAGAGGGAUUUGAACUUGGGUGGGCUAUGGAGGCUUGUAAAUGAGCUUAGCACAGUCUUUAUCACUAUCUUGGUAAUUCCUCAAUAAAUAAAAUUAAUGAGUUCUGUUGUCAUCCACAUCCCCACUGAAGAGGAUUCAGAUCCUCCUAUCUCUUAAACCACUCAAGGAGUCUUGCUCCUCCUCUGCUUCCUGAUGAUAUUUUCUUUUAAAGAAAGGUCCAUUUAAUAUAUUCCUCCCCAAAAAGUAUUUGCAAUUAAUUCUUAUCAAGGGCAACAGCUGAUUUGUAAGAUUACUUCUAAAUUGGUAAUUAACUAACCUAUUACCAAAGGAGGGAGGGGUGCUCUGAUUGUCAAGAGGUUAGAGCUGAUAAGUAAUGAAUGGUUGGGUUAUAUCAGGACCUUGGCUCCCCUCUCUGAUCACUUUGGAUGUUACCUAACCAUGCAUUAUAUUUGAACAUGAAUCACAACAGUUUCUCAGUCUUUAUAUUUCCUCAGCCAAAGCCUGACACACAGAACUAUGGGUAGAUCUCAUUUAUUAUUUCUUAAUUAAAGGCUCAAUGCACAAAGAGACGCCUCUUGCUUUACUGUAGCUAGCCAGCAAGAUCAUAAUUGUACUGAUGCCGAGGCCAGCUUUCUAAGUAGCUAUUGGAAGUCACAGUGAAGAAAAUCUGAGCUGUUCUGUAGGGAAUUCUAGACAACAAAACUUACAGUCAUAAUUUUUAAUUAAGAAAUUACUUUUUUUUUUUUUUCCUACUGGGUUCCAACAUUGAUUCCUUCUCAUUCCUCUCAUAGUUCCAUCAUGGAGCAUUACAAGUAGUGGGAAAUAAUUAGUUAUUUUUCCUUGCUUUUAAUUUUUGUGACUAGGCUAAUAUGUUAUAAUCUUUGCAUGGAGCAAAAUGGCAUCUUUUAGCCCUGCUAGUAUAACAGCUCUUUAUUGUUUCAGCACAGUAAAAUGAAUUUUGCAGUUUGAUAUAGACUUUGAUAUAGUCUUGCAGUUUUCAGGUUUAAAUAUAUUUAGAUACUCUACAGAGAGCUGUUUAUAAUAUUUAAAAAAUUAAAAUAACAGGUUUAUGCAACUCAACUGUAAAACAUCUGCAAAAAAAAUUCCAAUUCUUCUGGUUUUUGUAUGUCUUUUAGCAAAAAUAAUUUCCUCUGGGUGAAGUAGGUUCAAAGAAGUGUUUUAUGUAGCCUCACAUUGCUGUCUGAAAGAAAUUCCAUAGGAUUGCAAGGUGACAGACAAUGUGUAAGGAUGAAAACCAUCAAACUGCUUUUUUUUUUUUUUGGCAGAAUCCUUCUCUUCUUAGGUGAUGUAUGACCCAUCCUUAGAGGGGAGUAUGCCAGAGUUGGAAAUGAAAAAAAUAUUUUUGACUUAACAAACUCAACCUGGCAAUGUUAUGAGAGAGAGAGAGAGAGAGAAUAAAAUAUGGAAAGCCCAGAUGGCAUUACAGAGUUACUUUUCCUGACUGUGAGUGUGUUUUCAGGAAUUGUCCUGCACUCUGGGAUGCCAUAAAUAGAACUUGAUAUAAUGCUGCACUGCUCAGUUGCUGUCUGAAAACUUACAUCCUCGGCUUUUUCGGUGGUGGGGUCUAGGGUUUUGUUUUGUUUUCCAUCAAAGAGAAAUAGGAAUUUAUUUUUUCUGUGAGAUGGAAAGAAGUCAGGAAGGAGGCAUCUUCUCUUUGCCUCAGGAAGGAGGCAUCCCCCACUCUGCUAUGCUCCCCAUUUAGCAAGAUAAUCUCUAUUAGGUACAAAUAAUGAUAGGCCAGUCAUUCCCUGAGGAAGGCAAGCAUGGAGUAGAGGUCUGACAAAUAGUGAGAAAGCCUAACCUGAUGGAACUCAAGAUGAAAGGAGCUUUCAGAUUUAGAAGUUCUUCUCUCCUGCUGACCAGCUGUUCUCAUGAGAGGCCCUGUACAGCAGUGCCAUGCAGGCAGGCUCUGCUCAGACAGACAGACCAGGCCAGCAGAAAAGGUAUUUAUUUUCUGCAAACCCAGGUGGAGAACAGUGUCAUGAUCCCAGAGACUUCUGGCAUUCCCCUGCUAUCUGUCCCUCAUGGCUGUAUUUUUGUUUAGCAGCCACCAGAGGCAAACUUACUGCCUGAAGUGCGGACCUGUCCACAGUUCAGGAAACUUCUGGGAGAAAACAAAGGCGAUUUCCUUCAUCCUUGGGUUUUUUAUCUUGCUCCUGACCACAGGGAAGGCUCUUACCAGCUACAAACAAUUAUCCAGCCCAUCAAAGAUUUUUCCUUAGACUCAAACUUGUAGAAAUAAACUUCUUUCUGUGUGUGGGUGUGUAAUGUGCUAGUAGAUGAAUAUGGGUGUACAUAUAAUCACAACUCCAUACAUCCUUACAUACAAAUACUGUCAUGAUCCAUCCAAUUAGUGAAAGAUGUCCCUGCCCAAAAUUAAGGAGAAAAUGAGACCAUAUGCAACAGCAAAUCAUAUGGAUUUUAUUUAACAAUAAAUGCAAGGUAGAGAGAUAGAAGGAAGCAGAAAGGAGGAGGAGAUGAGGAGGGAGAGACACAGAGAAGGAGAUACAAGGCAGAAGAUAGUCACAAACCACAGGUCCAUCAGCAUUCCCCUAAUUUUCUUCACUGUGGACUUCCUGGUGAUGGGGGUCCUGGAGUCAUUCUUCUGGGGGUACCAUCUUUACACACUCCAAAUUUCAAGUAUCCAUGCAGCGGUUACAGUUGCUGUUCCCAUUACUGGGGGUGGCAUGAGUGUGAACCAUUGCUUCCUUUCCUACACUUUACCACAGAAGGAAUCAUUAUCAGGUGUGUUAACCCUUACGUGCUAAACAGAUCUUACUUCUCCCAGAUCUGGAAUUAACACCUUCCUGUCGCAAAUUCCUUCUUCCAGUGCUUAUCUCAAGUUCCCUCUAUGGUGACUUGUCUUAUGGCAACUUUAUUCCGUGGCCUUGUCAGUAUUUGUGAUAGGUAACUGUGCUCUUUAAAUCCUUAAAGAUUCCUGUACACACACAUAUACAUAUACACGUACAUGCACAUAUAUAUAUAUAUAUGCACAUAAAUAGAUAUGUAUAGGGACAUAGCAAUGUAGUUUCUUGAUUUCUCUUUUGCUACCCAAAGUCAAACUGUCAAGAAGAACAUGCACUUAAAUAAAUAAAUUGAAGCAGCUUUUGAAACAAGAAGUGAAGGGUGCCUGUGACAUUGCAGUGAUUAGUGUUGAGACACAGAACAGGCAUCCUAGUGAGUGCCUUAUAAAAUUAAAAAAAAAAAAA
rnacentral:lncRNA from 1 species